AACGAACGCUGGCGGCAGGCUUAACACAUGCAAGUCGAACGCAUCCUUCGGGGUGAGUGGCAGACGGGUGAGUAACGCGUGGGAACCUACCUUUAGGUCUGGAAUAACUGAGGGAAACUUCAGCUAAUACCGGAUAGACCCGUGAGGGUAAAGAUUUAUCGCCUGAAGAUGGGCCCGCGCAGGAUUAGCUAGUUGGUGGGGUAAAGGCCUACCAAGGCGACGAUCCUUAGCUGGUCUGAGAGGAUGAUCAGCCACACUGGGACUGAGACACGGCCCAGACUCCUACGGGAGGCAGCAGUGGGGAAUAUUGGACAAUGGGCGCAAGCCUGAUCCAGCCAUGCCGCGUGAGUGAUGAAGGCCCUAGGGUUGUAAAGCUCUUUCGCACGUGACGAUAAUGACGGUAGCGUGAGAAGAAGCCCCGGCUAACUUCG
rnacentral:rRNA from 1 species